rnacentral:rRNA from 1 species
UACAGGGGGUGCAACCGUUGCUCGGAAUUACUGGGCGUAAAGCGUGCGCAGGCGGUUUUGUAAGCCAGAUGUGAAAUCCCCGGGCUUAACCUGGGAAUGGCAUUUGGGACUGCAAGGCUGGAGUGUGGCAGAGGAGACUGGAAUUCCUGGUGUAGCAGUGAAAUGCGUAGAUAUCAGGAGGAAUACCGAUGGCGAAGGCAGGUCUCUGGGCUAACACUGACGCUCAUGCACGAAAGCGUGGGGAGCAAACAGG